rnacentral:rRNA from 1 species
GACGAACGCUGGCGGCGUGCUUAGCACAUGCAAGUCGAACGGAAAGGCCCUGCUUUUGUGCGGUGCUCGAGUGGCGAACGGGUGAGUAACACGUGAGUAACCUGCCCUUGACUUUGGGAUAACUUCAGGAAACUGGGGCUAAUACCGGAUAGGAGCUCCUGCUGCAUGGUGGGGGUUGGAAAGUUUCGGCGGUUGGGGAUGGACUCGCGGCUUAUCAGCUUGUUGGUGGGGUAGUGGCUUACCAAGGCUUUGACGGGUAGCCGGCCUGAGAGGGUGACCGGCCACAUUGGGACUGAGAUACGGCCCAGACUCCUACGGGAGGCAGCAGUGGGGAAUAUUGCACAAUGGGCGGAAGCCUGAUGCAGCAACGCCGCGUGCGGGAUGACGGCCUUCGGGUUGUAAACCGCUUUCGCCUGUGACGAAGCGUGAGUGACGGUAAUGGGUAAAGAAGCACCGGCUAACUACGUG